CUAUGCGCCUUGCCAGCCCGCUCAGUCAGAGUUUGAUCCUGGCUCAGGAUGAACGCUGGCGGCGUGCCUAAUACAUGCAAGUCGAGCGAACGGAUAAGGAGCUUGCUCCUUUGAAGUUAGCGGCGGACGGGUGAGUAACACGUGGGUAACCUACCUAUAAGACUGGAAUAACUUCGGGAAACCGGAGCUAAUGCCGGAUAACAUAUAGAACCGCAUGGUUCUAUAGUGAAAGAUGGUUUUGCUAUCACUUAUAGAUGGACCCGCGCCGUAUUAGCUAGUUGGUAAGGUAAUGCUUACCAAGGCGACGAUACGUAGCCGACCUGAGAGGGUGAUCGGCCACACUGGAACUGAGACACGGUCCAG
rnacentral:rRNA from 1 species